rnacentral:rRNA from 1 species
UACGUAGGGUGCAAGCGUUGUCCGGAAUUAUUGGGCGUAAAGAGCUCGUAGGCGGUUUGUCACGUCGGAUGUGAAACCCUGAGGCUCAACCUCAGGCCUGCAUUCGAUACGGGCAGACUAGAAUUCGGCAGGGGAGACUGGAAUUCCUGGUGGUAGCGGUGAAAUGCGCAGAUAUCAGGAGGAACACCGGUGGCGAAGGCGGGUCUCUGGGCCGAUAUUGACGCUGAGGAGCGAAAGCGUGGGGAGCAAACAGG